rnacentral:rRNA from 1 species
UACGUAGGGCGCAAGCGUUGUCCGGAAUUAUUGGGCGUAAAGAGCUUGUAGGUGGCUUGUCGCGUCUGCUGUGAAAUCCCGGGGCUCAACUCCGGGCCUGCAGUGGGUACGGGCAGGCUAGAGUGCGGUAGGGGAGAUUGGAAUUCCUGGCGUAGCGGUGGAAUGCGCAGAUAUCAGGAGGAACACCGAUGGCGAAGGCAGAUCUCUGGGCCAUUACUGACACUGAGAAGCGAAAGCAUGGGGAGCGAACAGG